GACGAACGCUGGCGGCGUGCCUAAUACAUGCAAGUAGGACGCAGUUGCGAACGGGUGAGUAACGCGUAGGUAACUGCCUAUUAGAGGGGGAUAACUAUUGGAAACGAUAGCUAAUACCGCAUACUAGUAGAUGGACCUGCGUUGUAUUAGCUAGUAGGUAGGGUAAUGGACUACCUAGGCAACGAUACAUAGCCGGGCGGAGAGGGUGAUCGGGCACACUGGGACUGAGACACUGCCCAGACUCCUACGGGAGGCAGCAGUAGGGAAUCUUCGGCAAUGGGGGGAACCCCGACCGAGCAACGCCGCGGGAGUGGAGGAGGUUUUCGGAUCUUAAAGCUCUGUUGUUAGGGAAGCGGUACUUAACCAGAAAGGGACGGCUAACUACGUGCCAGCAGCCGCGGUAAUUC
rnacentral:rRNA from 1 species